CUCUCAGUUAUAAUUAAACUUACACAUGCAAGUCUCCCACUCCAGUGAAAAUGCCCUUUAUCUUCCAACUAUAAGAAGAAAAGGAGUUGGUAUCAGGCUCAAAUAGCCCAAGACACCUAGCUUAGCCACGCCUCCAAAGGAUUUCAGCAGUGAUUAACAUUAAACAUUAGCGCAAGCUAAAUUUAGUUAUAAUUUAUAUGGUCGGUUAAUUUCGUGCCAGCCACCGCGGUUAUACGAAAGACUUAAACUGAAAGCCACCGGCGUAAAGCGUGAUUAAGGGUAAAAAUUUUCUAAAGCUAAACUCUGAUUUAAUUGUUAUAAGUUCUUAUCAGUUGGAAACUCAUUCACGAAAGUAGCUUUAUCAUUCCUGACUUCACAGUAGCCAAGACCCAAACUGGGAUUAGAUACCCCACUAUGCUUGGCCCUAAACUUUGAUAAUUACAAUUCUC
rnacentral:rRNA from 1 species